rnacentral:lncRNA from 1 species
AGUAAACUGUCAAGACUUAAAACUUACUUACUUUACCUUUCACCAUGGGACUUGUAACCGUCACUUCUGUCUUGAGUGGUUAAAAGAUAGAACAGUCCAGUCAAGUGCCAUGUCGCUUAUUCUUGAUCAGCUAUAGCUCUAGAGUUUUUGCAGAUUUUCAAAUAAAACUCAGAGAUUCCUUUGUAUGACUCUCUCAUAUCUCUCUUUUGUGGUAUUUCUAGAUCCUUACCAAGGCAGUGAUGGUAUAUGCCUUCUCUCAAGAUAUGUGGUAUUUGUGGUAUAAGGCAUAGUGACAUUGCCUUCUCUCUCACCCUACUCUAAUAAGGCUUUAAUAUCUGGAGCUCAUAGGUGGGAGAUAAAGUAUACAUACUUACAAGACAUUUAUUGUAUAGUCAAACCAUGGAUCCAAAGAAACAAAUCAAUAAGCUAAAUCAAGAUGUGCAUGUGUGGCGAAUGAAUAGUGUAUGGUGAUGAUGGUGAUAACAAUGGUGAAAGUCUAAUUCUAUUUUUGCUCUUUUGAGGGGAUACAUACCUUCCUUGCUUUUUGAAACUUUAUGAGGAGAAUGAGAUGCUCUUCUUUUCUUUUCUCUCAGAUGGGUAUCCUGUACCCCUAAUUCUACUGUCGGACACUUGUCCAUUUUUACCUCUCGUCUCACUUUUUUCUUUCUUUCGAGGUUCCGGGCACUUGCCCCUUUUUAUUUCCUCGUUUAUUUUUUUUCUUUUCUUCUCUCUUUUUUUUCUGAGCACUCAUCUCUUGAGAUAAUAUAGCAAGUGGUAGUAGCAAGAUAACUUGAGCAUUUAUUUCACAAGGGAAAACAGAAAUAUUUUUGGCUAUUCUCUCCCGGAUUAGGAGUAGAAUAUUUUUAGGUGAUUUUGGAGAUGGAAAUGGAUGGAUAUAUGUGGAUGGUACUUCCGGAGUAGAAGUAGCAUAUAUAUGAGUGAACGUGCAAGUGAAUCUUGAUUUAACCACAUGACAAGCUCCUAAGGGUCUACACAGCUUGACCACACUCAAUGCUCAUAAGCAGUAAAUAAUAAAUGUGUGGCUCAAAGUCUAGCAAGCAUAUAUAUAUGGCUGUGGUAGGAAUUUAAACUUUCAUCAUACAGGAACUCAUCAUGCAAUAUUUUAAAGAUUUUUCAAAGAUAAAAUUCUCCAGAAUUCUAGCAUCUCUAGGAAUAGAUAAACAGCAGCUCAACCUUCCCAUAUCAUAUCCGUUAACAACUUAGAUUUCAGAUCAAGUUUUCAUCCCACAAGUUUAGAUCUAGAGCAAGCUUUAAAUUAUAACAGUUAUGUCUAAACUUGAGAGAGAACUUCAAAUUUGCAAAUUAGGCAGAGCAACUAUUCAUCAUAUCCAUGCUAGAGUUUUAUUAUUAAGAUUCAUAGCAAACUUUAUUUAUUUAUUUAUUUAUUUAGCAAACUAAGAAAAGAUAUAUAUAUAUAAGCAUAAAAUCUUUAUUUGGUUUUUCAUAGUUUAUGUAUUUUAAUAUUCUAAUAUAAUAUAAGUAUAAAGAUAGGUAGAAAUACUUAGCGAGAUAAAUAGGGGCGCUCUCCCUCAAGCUGAAUUUUAACGUAAUUUCUCUUGAUGUAGCUAGCAGGAGGCAGAGGUGUAUUUGAAAGUCAGCAGCAUUCUGACAGCGAUUAGAAUAUCCUCCAUCUGCUAGUCUUCUUGAUUCUUAAAUUCUGUGGAGCUCAAAUAGACAACAAAGCUUGUGGAACUAAUUAAGUGUUACCAUAAAUAUCUAGCCUUCAUCACGUUGAGCUUCCUCAAUAAAUAUUACUCCCUGUUUUUAUAUUUUUAUUUUAUAAAGUAAAAAAGAAAUAUUUAUUUUAUUUUUAUGCCACCACAGUGAAGGUACUUAUGGGUUUUAUGCCACUCGUAUACUCACAUGGGGCUUAGUAUUUUUUAACAUUUUUAUUUUCUUUUCAAGAUAGCAUGAUUAACUAAAAAUCUAUUUAAGGAAAGUAAAUAAUUAAAGGGAAAAGGGAAUGCAGAAAGGAUAAAUAUGGAUAACUACCAAUCUUACCUUUCGGCGAGGGUUCAAUGUUUUAAGUCUUCUUGACAAGACUUCUCACCGUGUUCAUUCUUUAGGUGCGUCAUUUGAUUUAGGUGCGGACCUUGAUGUCUGCACCUUUUAAUACGAUGUCACCCAUGUUCUUCGUUUGCCCAGCAAUUCGAAGUGCGGUGUUGGCAGUGUCCUGCUCAGUGUGUUUGUGCUCGUAGUGUACCUGCUCAUAGAGACAAGGCAGAGAUCAAGUGCAUGGGCCCUGUUGGUGGAAAACACCAACAGAACCAAAAGUGUAUUUGUUCUUCUCUAACCUUAAGCAUAGUGAGCAAGACAUGUUGAUGGAUGAUAAGUUCAUGAGUGUAGCACUUAUAACAUUUGUCAGAUCAAAUCGCUCAACCUUAUGGAAAGAUAAUCUAUCUAUGUAUAUGUCUUUUUCUUUAUAUCUCUCAAUGAUUGAAUGUGUAACAUUUUAGCUCAUAUGAUUAGGAGUGUGGGAUCAUGGAGGUAGUACUAAGAACAAGGAUUAAAGGACUAAACAUGUUGAAUCAGUUGGGUUGGUUAAUCUAGAGUUGUAAAUCAUACACGUUUGUCUCUUUUAUUUAUAUGAA